rnacentral:lncRNA from 1 species
AAUUUAUUUAUCAUAAUCUAUUCUCCAUUAUGAUGGACUGUGAACUAAACAUAAAUAAAUGAUAUAUCAAUUAUUAAAACACUGAAAAAAUGCACCUUUAAUACUAUAUAGUUAUUAAAACCAUGUUUCUUUACAUUUUUGUGAAAUUAACAAUGUUUUCAUAAUGUAAAAAAUAUCCUAUAUGUCCAUUUUCAAGUUCUAAGAUCCUUUAUCCAUUUAUUUAAAGAUUUUGCCAAGCAAUCCAAAUAUUACCUCCCUUACAUUUUCAUUAUUUGCAAAAAAAAUUAUAAUCCUUGCUGAUGAAUUGUUUUAUCAUUUUAAUGCUGACUUGUCUCAACACAUUUUCUAGAUUCACUUAUUUUCCAACCAUAUUUAAAUAGUUAAAAAAAGGUUCCUAAAAGAUUGAAGAUGUAAAAAAAAGUGUAUUAUGCUUUCUUCAUUUUUCGAUUAUUUUAAUGAAAUCUAUAUACAUGUACUUUCUUGCAAGAAAUGUUAAAAUUAAGAAAACACUUGUUAUUUUUUAUAUCUAUGGUAAACAUCCUAUAUUUUCUGAUUCUAGGAGGUUGUUUUUUUCGUCUACAUUGCACAGGUUUUACAGACAAAUUAUAUGUAUGUAUCCAAACACAAUAUCUUUUUUAAAAGAUUUUUCAUGUAAUAAAGAUUAAUAUAUCCAACAGAAAAAUGGACUUUGAUAUAUUGAAACAGCAACUUCAAUGUACAAAAAUGUAGUUUCUGAACAUUCUCUUAAAUGAAGUAAGAAAAUUUUGAGCAAUGAUUAAAUUUCAAGAAUGUGUAUACCAUACUUUAUGAUUCAACAUUAUGUCUUCGAAAAUAAUUUCAUUUAUUUACAGCAGAAAAAAAAACAGUUUGAUGUCUUUAUACAGUAUUUUGUAAAUUACAGCUGUUUAAAAUCAAGGUUAAUUAGAAGUGAUCAAUUUCUUGACUGACUGUCUGAAAUUAUCUGUGCAACUGUAAACAUCAUUAAAAUGAGUUUCAAAAUGUAUGAUUUAAAAAAAAAUAACCCUGUAAGUUGCAUUGGAACUGAAACACCGGCAUUGUAUCUUAAGAUUUGCAGACCUCAAUUUCUUUUUGAUGGUUGCAAAUAUACCUUUACUGGAUCCAAUUACAUGUCUCCAAUAAACUAAAUUUGUAACAAUCAAAUUGCAAAUUGAUGCCCCCGAAAUCUUUACAUACAAUACUGUUAUCUCAUUAUAGUACAAUGUUUUAAUUAGACUAUGAAUAUAAAGACAUUCUUAGUCAGUUGUAAAUGAUAAAAUUAUAUAUGACACAUUUUCUGAGGCGAAUAUAUACAAAGUUAAUUAUUAUUUCUUAGUUGAAGGAGUGCAAAACAAAUACAUUUAGCCAAGACAUAAUUUAUACAUAACAAAUCAUGCAUAUACUUAUAAACACUAUAAAACAACUGUUUCAAUCUUUACAAUAUUAAAUAAAACUUAAAUAAGAAAGAUGAAAAUAAAAUAUUAAAGCCAUUCAAAACAAGUUACCCGUUGUCUUGUGACCAAUUCUUUGGUAUAACACUACCUGCCUUAAGGUUUGCUUAGCUCUGUACAAAUUGUCUAAAAAAAAAAUGCAGUGCAGUAUUAUUGUAAAGUAAA